AUUGUACAAUUUUGCAAUUUAUAGGUCAAGAAAUCAUAACUUUAAAAGAGUUCCUGUUUCAUGAUGGCUAAAAAUAAACUUUUGGGGAAAAAAGGCACCCAAAUUCAGGACUAGAGAUCCUGCUCUUCUACACAAGUUUUCUUCAAAAUUAUCACUUAUUGGGGUCAUAGAUUGUGGCUCUUCAACCGAGAUUUACUCUACAGAACAAGCCUUAUGUGGAGGGUAUUAUUCUUUGCUUUUGUAAAAAGUAAGUUUUUUGAUACUCUUACUGAUUCAAGCAUGAGUUUUCCUUGAUAAGAUGCAAUUUUACCUAACAAUGAAAUGAUUAAUGGCACAUAGCUUUGUGAGUCAAGGUAUUUAUACAAGAAUGUGGAAAAGUGGUAAUUUUAUAACUGAUUUGAUCAGAGUGUCAUGAUUGAAAGAAUUCUUUAAAGACAG
rnacentral:lncRNA from 1 species